AUCACUUGGGAAAUUACAAAGGUUUUAGAAGCUCUGGGCCAGGAACCCAGGAUGAAGACCCAGUACAGGUUGAGUAUCCCUUAUCCAAAAUGCUUGAGACCAGAAGUCUUUUGGAUUUCAGAUUGUUUUGGAUUUUGGAAUAUUUGCAUUAUACUGGUUGGGCUGCCCUAAUCCAAAAACAUGAAACCUGAAAUCCUCCAAUGAGCAUUUCCUUUGAGCAUCAUGUUGGUGCUAAAAAAGUUUCAGAUUUUGGAGCACUUUGGAUUUUGAAUUUUCAGAUUAAGGAUACUCAACAUCUAUGUAUUUCUUGUUAUAGCUCAUAUCACAGCUAUAAGUUUAAAAGCUUAAAGCACUGUGUGAGUGCUGGGGAACCAAUCACCCCUGACGUGACUGAAAAAUGGAGAAACAAGACGGGCCUGGAUAUCUACGAAGGAUAUGGACAGACUGAAACGGUGCUAAUCUGUGGAAAUUUUAAGGGAAUGAAAAUUAAACCUGGCUCAAUGGGAAAACCUUCUCCUGCUUUCAAU
rnacentral:sRNA from 1 species